rnacentral:rRNA from 1 species
UCGAGGGUCUUGACAGCACGUUGAAUGCACCAGUUCCCCAUGGAUCACUGGAGGUAAGCAACGUUCCAUGUGGUUAAUACCCGGAUGGGUGACCAUCUAGAGUUCUAGACAAUCGCGUGAU